GGAGGAGUGGCUGAGUGGUCGAAAGCGGCGGUCUUGAAAACCGUUGAGCGUGUGAGCGCUCCGGGGGUUCGAAUCCCUCCUCCUCCGCCA
rnacentral:tRNA from 1 species